rnacentral:rRNA from 1 species
UACAGAGGGGGCAAGCGUUAUUCGGAAUUAUUGGGCGUAAAGGGCGCGUAGGCGGCGUCUCAAGUGGAUGGUGAAAUCCCCGGGCUUAACCUGGGAACUGCCGUCCAAACUGAGAGGCUUGAGUCCGGGAGAGGUAAGUGGAAUUCCCAGUGUAGCGGUGAAAUGCGUAGAUAUCGGGAGGAACACCAGUGGCGAAGGCGGCUACCUGGCCCACUCUUGACGCUGAGGCGCGAAAGCUAGGGGAGCAAACGGG